AUGGAAGGAUGUGAUAAGAGGAAAAUUCAGUCCAACUUUAACAAGCAAAGAAAAAAAAAUGCAUGGCAACAGAUUGUUUUGACAGUAAAUGCAGCAUUUCCUCGGACAAGACGUUCAGCAGAGGAUUGUGAGAAAAGGUGGUACAAUGUGUUGGCAACAACACGCAAGGAAAUUGCAGAAUAUAAAGAAAGUAUGCGAGCCACAGGUGGGGGCCCUCCAUGUAAACCUCUGUCUGAGAUUGGUGAAAUAGUAGAGGAGAUACUUGGAAUGGCCAAUCCCUCUAUUUGUGGCAUUCCAGAUGCCCCAGACCCUGCACUUCUCAAAUUGAAGGAGUUACAAAGAUGGUAAGAAGAAAAUUAUGCAUGUAAUAAUGUAUGCAUGUAAUGUGUCUUUUUAAUAAAUUGAUAGUAUUUCAGUCACCACAAUGAAUUGAAUAAACAUGUUUGCACUGUUUAAUAUUUUCUGCAUGUGAAUGUAGUGUGGAUAAUUCUGGAGCCGGUCCAUCAGAUGCAUCUUCUCCUGUAUCAUCUCAGGACAUCUCCGUGUGUCCUCCAGAUGAGCUUCUGCCUCACAAGACACUGGAUUUGCACAGGGCGCAGCCACUGAGGAUCACAUUGAGUCCCUUAAAAGAAAAAAGCUCAAAUUGCAAAUUAAGUUGCUGGAAAUUCAAAAUGAAUAUUACUCUUUAAAACUGAAAAGAAUUAAGAAUACUCAAUGAUUGUAAAUAUGCUUUGUGUAAUAAAAUUGUGUAAGGAAAAGUUUGUUGUUACUUAUUGUCUACAAGUUUGCUUACCCAAAAUGUGAGUUAGCAAAGCAGUCCAUGAAUGAUGCUCUCCCCGAAAUGCUUUGUAAUGUGUGUUCGGUGGUAUUGUCAUCAUUCUCAUCAUAAUCAUGAUCACUGUCAUCAUCACCAUGGUCCUCAUUUUCAUCGUCAUCAUCAUCAUCAUCAUUAUCAUCAUCAUCAAGCAAUGGGAGGUUACGAGCUUUGCAAAUAUUGUGCAAAAUGCCACAAGCCAUAAUAAUGCGACAAGCACGCUCAGGUGAAUGUCGAAUCUCUCCAUGAAGGACAUGGAAUCUGCUCUUCAGCUGUCCAAUUCCUCUCUCCACCACGGCUUGUGUUACUUUGUGUGCUCUUCAUGACGCAAAAACAAUAAAAGAACAUAGGUCAGAUAAGUCAAGAAUGUACUCCUUGAACAAAAUUAGUAUCUUGUCUACAGUUCAGUCCAGUACAGUACCUGUUAUAAUUGAGCUGCUGUUCUCCUUGAGGUCUUCUGUAAGGGGUGAGAAGCCAGUGUUUUAAAGGGUAACCGAGUCUCCCAGCAGAUGACAUCCAGGGCGAACAUAAUUUUGUUCGAAUAACCCAUUGAGGCCACUCUGGGAAAGAACCCGAGCAUCAUGUGUUGACCCUGGCCAUUUUGGCAGAAGAUCGAGGAUCUUGUAAUUGGCAUCAAAUACGACUUGAACAUUGAUGCUGUGGAAUCCUUUUCGAUUGAUGUAUGUCUCCUCAUUUACAGUUGGAGCAAUGAUGCGUACAUGGGUGCCAUCGAUGGUUCCUACAACUCCAGGGAAACCCGCAAUCCUCAUAAAAUCUGCUGGCUUUUGCCGUAUAGUUUGAAGGUCAGUUGGGAAGUCAAUGAACUGCCUCACUAUGUCUGGUAUGGUUAGUGCAGCAACAGUGGUAUUUAAGACCCUGCUAACUGUGGACUGUGAUGGCCCUAAGUCAUCACUGGUGCAUUGCUGCAUUUUUCCAGUUGCCAAGAAACGCAGAGUCAUUAUAACUUUCAUUUCAGCAGUUAAAGCAUAGUUUCUUACAGUGGGAGAAGUUAUUGAAUUUCUGACUAGGUCAGUAACAAAAAGAAUACCCUGACAAUCAAGCCUGUAUCGUUUGAUCAACUCUCUGUCAUCAUAUAAUUCCAACACAUUCUUACAUUGUUGGAAACUGCGCGGCCUCCUCCUCUCUGCUGCCAUCUUGUUACUCCUUACUGGUUAGGAGACCUCUCCAGCUCUCUUAAAUAAUUUAGGAGCUAAGACCUAGUCUUAACACUUAGGAACCUUUAUGAAUCACACUUAUUCUUAAGACUAGGAAUAAAAGUAAAAUGACGUCAUUCUUAGAAUUUUGACAGACUUGAGACUAAAAUUUUACUCUGAGUGGCUCUAUACAUAGGGCCCCUGGUGUCUCAUGCAUUUACCUGAACAUCGUUUC
rnacentral:lncRNA from 1 species